AAUCAACGCUGGCGGCAUGCCUUACACAUGCAAGUCGAACGCGAAAGGGGGCAACCCUGAGUAGAGUGGCGAACGGGUGAGUAAUGCAUCGGAACGUGUCCUGUAGCGGGGGACAACCCCGAGAAAUCGAGGCUAAUACCGCAUACGUCCUGAGGGAGAAAGCGGGGGAUUCGCAAGGACCUCGCGCUCAUGGAGCGGCCGAUGUCGGAUUAGCUAGUUGGCGGGGUAAAAGCCCACCAAGGCUACGAUCCGUAGCUGGUUUGAGAGAACGACCAGCCACACUGGGACUGAGACACGGCCCAGACUCCUACGGGAGGCAGCAGUGGGGAAUUUUGGACAAUGGGGGCAACCCUGAUCCAGCCAUGCCGCGUGAGUGAAGAAGGCCUUCGGGUUGUAAAGCUCUUUCGGCCGGAACGAAAUCGCGUACGUGAAUAACGUGCGUGGAUGACGGUACUGGAAGAAGAAGCACCGGCUAACUACGUGCCAGCAGCCGCGGUAAUACGUAGGGUGCGAGCGUUAAUCGGAAUUACUGGGCGUAAAGCGUGCGCAGGCGGUUCUGCAAGUCAGAUGUGAAAUCCCC
rnacentral:rRNA from 1 species